rnacentral:rRNA from 1 species
UACGUAGGGGGGCGAGCGUUGUCCGGAUUUAUUGGGCGUAAAGAGCUCGUAGGCGGCUUGGCAAGUCGGGUGUGAAACCUCCAGGCUCAACCUGGAGACGCCACUCGAUACUGCUAUGGCUAGAGUCCGGUAGGGGACCACGGAAUUCCUGGUGUAGCGGUGGAAUGCGCAGAUAUCAGGAGGAACACCGAUGGCGAAGGCAGGUCUCUGGGCCACUACUGACGCUGAGAAGCGAAAGCAGGUGGGAGCGAACAGG